UCUCCGUAGGUGAACCUGCGGAAGGAUCAUUAUUGUAUAACCGAGGUGCGAGGGCUGUCGCUGACCCGAAAGGUCGUGCACGCCCGAGUGCCCUCACACACAUCCAUCUCACCCCCAUUUGCACCACCGCGUGGGUCCCCCUUUGGCUUGUUCGGAGGGGGGCUUACGUUUUCACACAAACUUUGUAUGCAGUGUAGAAUGUAUUUUUUGUUUUUGCGAUCACGCAAUCAAUACAACUUUCAACAACGGAUCUCUUGGCUCUC
rnacentral:misc_RNA from 1 species